rnacentral:tRNA from 3 species
GGGAUUAUAGCUCAGUUGGCUAGAGCGCCACGUUGACAUCGUGGAGGUCGUUGGUUCGAGCCCAAUUAAUCCCACCA